AUUGAACGCUGGCGGCAGGCCUAACACAUGCAAGUCGAGCGGAGCGGCGGACGGGUGAGUAAUGCAUAGGAAUCUGCCUGGUAGUGGGGGAUAACGUCCGGAAACGGGCGCUAAUACCGCAUACUAUCAGAUGAGCCUAGGUCGGAGUAGCUAGUUGGUGGGGUAAAGGCCUACCAAGGAGACGAUCCGUAACUGGUCUGAGAGGAUGAUCAGGCACAAGGGAACUGAGACACGGUCCAGCCUCCUACGGGAGGCAUCAGUGGGGAAUAUUGUAAAAUGGGCGAAAGCCUGAUGCAGCGAUGCCGCGUGUGUGAAGAAGGUCUUCGGAUUGUAAAGCACUGUAAGUUGGGAGGCGUUACCAACAGAAUAAGCACCGGCUAACUUCGUGCCAGCCGCCGCGGUAAUAC
rnacentral:rRNA from 1 species